GAACUCGCGCAACUCAUCUCCACUCUUGAUCCACUCUCAUUUCUCCUCUGCUCAUCAGCCCUAGCCCUGAAACUGCGUUCCCCUCUCAGUUUCUUCGGAGUUAGAAGCGGCAUUGCUCGAUUGUUCGUGAGGGAAAGAGGCUGAACCAAGAUUAGCGGGGAACCCUCGAAAUUUCUCCCUAUCAUUAUCCUCUGCACGUCAGCUUUGGCUCUGAAACUGAUUUCUCCUCUCAGUUUCUUCCGAGUUAGAAGCAGCAUCGCAACCGUUAGUGUGGGAAACAGGCCGAACCAAAAUUAGCAGGGAAGCGUAGAAAACAUUGCUGGCCAAGAGGAUGCGUACCAAGAGGUUGCCUACCAAGUUGCUACGUAAAGAAUUGAAGGAAAUAUUGGCAACCAAGAGGAUGCCUACCAAGAGACCGUUUGAAGAACCGAAGGUGAAUGUGGGUGAAUAUUCUACUCUACCAGCUAAGAAACUGAGAACACAUUUUAGCCCCAAUUCAUCGAGUUCGAGAUUAAGGGAAUAUUUAUUUGCACUAAAUAGAUUCUAUUUAGAGGGUCACUCUUAAUUGGUUCAUUGUUAAGUGAAGUAGUUAUAUUUUGUUGCCCCUCUUAAUACCCUUCGAAUGGCUCUCUUUCCUAGCGAUGGUUUGCUGCUGCUUUCAUUGAGAACAAUGUUUUUUGUAAUUAUCCCAUCUCAUCUUGAUUGUAAUUUCUCAUACGAUUAGAGAUGGUGAACUCAAUUUAUUGUGUUCUCCCAAAAAAAACUAUUCUAAAUUUAUUGUAAUUAUAGCUUAUGAUAUUUGUUCUAUACGUUUUCAGCUAUACUGUUCCAUGAUGUAUAAAUUUGUUCUUUAUUUUUCAGAUUUGUAUGUUC